UACGUAGGGGGCUAGCGUUGUCCGGAAUCAUUGGGCGUAAAGAGCGCGUAGGCGGCCAGAUAAGUCCGGUGUGAAAGUCACAGGCUCAACCUGUGAAUGCCGCUGGAAACUGUCUGGCUAGAGUCCGGGAGGGGCGAGUGGAAUUCCUGGUGUAGCGGUGAAAUGCGCAGAUAUCAGGAGGAACACCAAUGGCGAAGGCAGCUCGCUGGGACGGUACUGACGCUGAGACGCGAAAGCGUGGGGAGCGAACAGG
rnacentral:rRNA from 1 species